UUAGGACAUUUCUUGAACUCCUGGUUUUGGGAAAUUUCACGACAAAGUGCCAUGUUGCCUCUGCUCCAGGCCGUGCCCUUGAAUGCCGUUUAGAAGCUGAGUGAACAGAAGGAGAUGGAGAGAGGCCUGGGGAGUCCCCUUGUACUUGGAGUCAGAGUCAAAGGACUGAUCAGCACAUGCACCUGAAGAAACUACCUGAGGGAGGAAAAAAAACCUCCUCAUAGAAUUAGAAGGAAC